AGUCUUCAGGGCAUGGUGAAAUUCCAUACCGGCGGUAAAGCCCGCGAGCAUAUGCAUGAUUCGGUGAAAUUCCGAGGCCGACAGUAAAGUCUGGAUGAGAGAAG
rnacentral:ncRNA from 1 species